ACAGAUUCCAGCUAUCAGAUUAAGAACAAAGCAAAUCAGAUAUCAGGACAAUCCAACAGCAGACAUACAAACAAAUAGGGGAGGGGAGCAGUAAGGAUAUCAACAUCAAAAUAUGCCUUCAGAAGGGAGGAAGACAAGGAAGAAGACGUACCGCUCCGUAGCGAGUACUCUAGCUGCGAAACACGGAGAAAUAGAGGAGCACACUCAGAGAAAGAGGCGGCACUUGGAAAGUUGAACUGAAAAUGGGAGGGGCGAAAGAGGCGGAUGUUGUCAGGAGUUCUUUCCUAAUUAUAAACAAGGUUUGGUCUAGUUUAGGCUUGAAUUUUGUAAUAUUUGGGCGUUUUGGCCAAACUGAUUUGGCUUUUGCUAGUUAUUAAUAAAAUGGCCACCAAAAAUUUGACCUUAAAAACAAAAUUAUUCAAAAUUCAAAAUAAUUAUCAAUUUUUUUUUAUAUAUUUAUCUUUCAUUUAAUGAUGAUCUUAACUAUUCUUUAAUUUUUAGAAAAAUAGUCUAAAAAUAAUCAAAAAAAUAUCGGUAGAAAAUAGUCUUUUAUUUAUUUCCAAAAAUAUAUUAUAACUCAAUAAUUUACUUAAUAUAAACGGAAGGGUAUAUAUAUAUGAUAUUUCUCCACUUUAUUUUCAUGUUGUCAAGCUGAACGAAGAGAUGACCAUUAAUGUAGCAAAUAAUUGAGCACAUGGCCUCUUAAACAAGUUUGCACUGACAAAAUGAAAUUUAACUAAAUAUUUUUGAAGUUUAAAAACUGAGAUUAACUAAUAUUCAUUGACGUGAACACUAAAAUUAUACGAUUGAUUUUUCUUUAAUUAAAUAAUAAAUAUUACUUAUUAUAUCUAAAUAAAAAUGACAAAAAGAAUACUAAAAGUAAAUUGGACUCUAAGUUAAUUAUGCAAAAGAUUAUUUAGGAUUCUUCCUGUAGCUUAUCAAAAAAGAUCUUUUUCAUCGCGCAUGUUCAUUCUCAUUAAUUUUAGGCUCGUCAAAUAGCAUUGAAGCAAUUCACAUACAUCAUUAAAACAAUUUGAGACAAACAUCAACACCUAUAUAUAUAUAUAUAGGGUUGCGAAAUUUCAUGUUGUAAAAAGAACAUGUCUUUUCAAUAUGCUUUUGGCAUUUUUGUAUUCAAAGUAUUCUUGUAUUCUAUGUAUUUUCAUUUCAUGUAUAGCUACUAUGAGCUUUGUAGAUCUUAAACUUGCAUGCAAAUAUGCUUAUUCCAUUUCUGGAAUUGCUUUAUCAAAAUGAUGUAAUGCUAUGCGAUGUUUCCAUGCUCUUUUUCUUACUAAAUGUAAGUGAUAUUGAAUGUCUUUCAACAUGUUUUAUAUGCUAUAAGCAUGCAUAUGAACAAAUAUUGUUUUCAACAUAUUACUGUUUUGAUUUAAUCAAUCUUUUUAAUGUCCCUAUAGGUACUAAGUAUACUUCUUAUGUCUAAGGAUAUUGUAAAAUAUGAAUAUGCUUUGUUUUUGACAAUAAUAUUAUGAAAUACUAAGUUUUGCGUGUAUACCUUUCUCCUUUACGUUCGAUGAACAGUCUUUAUCACUACCUCAGUAGUUCUCCUUCAGGCUAUGAACAUUUUUUGUCUCUUGGCUACUUCCCUACUGUUCCUCCUUAGGGCUGAAGAUCGCAACCUUCACUUAAUACUAUUCAUGGAAUUCAGAGAAGAAGAAUUUAUAAACCAAACUUUUUAUUUCAUAAUAUUACUCACACAAACAAACCAUACAUACUUUACAUAUACUUAAACAUAUUUAGUAAUACUUUUCCCUGGCGGGAGAAGUUUCUACUCACUCCUUAAGAUACCUAGCAUUUUUUUUCUCUAGUUGGUGUUUUAAAGAAAAAUGUAGUCUACCUCUUAGAGUGUUUUUUCUCUCCUUUUAUA
rnacentral:lncRNA from 1 species